UUUGAGGAGUAAAGUAGGGUUUUGGCGUUCUUGUGGAUUUAUGAGGAGAAUUUUGUUCUCUGUUUGGGUUUUUGAGGGUAGGAUGAUUCUUGAAGGAUGAACGAUGCCGGUACUGCGUAGCGGAGUGCGCAGGGGCCGGGCAAAGCAGCAGAAAGACGUGUUGAGUCCGAUUGAGCCGGAAGGGGAGGCCAUUGCAACGAGAACAAGGAGGAGGAGGAAGGCAGCGGCGGCAGUAGAAGUGGUGCCUAAUACUAACGAGAAACAGUUGCAAGAAGGAAACGAUCGGCAGCCGCUACCGGUCGAUGAUAAGGUAGCUGCUGUGAUAGCGACUCCGGAGGAGCAUCGGGUGUCAAAGGAAGAUUUUCGUGGCAGAGGUGGAGACCAGCUUGGUAUUGGUGAGGUAGGAGACGCUGCUGGUGGAGCUAAGAAGGAAGAAAUUGGGGAGAAGAAAAUGAAUGAUCGCGACAGUGGAGCAGGAAGCAAUGAUAAAGCUCACGCUGUCGAAGAAGAGGGAAGCACAACACCACUUCCUGAAAAGAUUCAGGUGGGUGGUUCCCCACUCUACAGGAUAGAUAGAAAGCUGGGUAAAGGUGGAUUUGGACAGGUUUAUGUUGGACGGCGUGCUUCCACUGUUAAUACAAAUGAGAGAACUGGCCCUGGUGCUGUGGAGGUGGCUUUGAAAUUCGAGCAUAGAAGUAGCAAGGGAUGUAAUUAUGGACCGCCUUAUGAGUGGCAAGUUUACAAUACGCUUGGUGGUAGUCAUGGUGUACCCCGGGUGCAUUACAAGGGCAGACAAGGUGACUACUAUAUUAUGGUUAUGGAUAUG
rnacentral:misc_RNA from 1 species